rnacentral:rRNA from 1 species
UGAAAACCGUUUAGGGGUAAACCUGAGAAACCCGAAAGGUCGAAGGAAGAAAUUCAUUCGCGUUUCGUAGUUGGCGGNAGAAAGGAAUUGUGUGACGAAAAUCGCUUGCGAUUUUUGCGCCGUCUUUUNUACGAACCGAUUACGAACGUGUGCACUUUUNUUCUGGUAGGACGUCGCGAUCCGUUGGGUGUCGGUUUAAGGUUCACGGUGGAGUCCGUUUUGCCUAUGUGUCGAACGGACCCGUGUUUUCCCGACCGACUCGCUCGACGGUAUCCGAAAGGUUCAAGGCCGCUCGUUUGGAGCGUUCGACUUGUAGCAAGCGCGUCAGUUUUGUGUGUUGAAGAUCGGACCUAGUGCCGAUCCCGACCGCUGGCGACUGUUGGCUACGAAGAUUCUCGAACAGACCUCGUUAACCGAUCGGCGACGAUAUAGAUUUGGGUACUUUCAGGACCCGUCUUGAAACACGGACCAAGGAGUCCAGCAUGUACGCAAGUCAUUGGGAAUGACUAAACCUAAAGGCGCAAUGAAAGUGAAAAUCCUCCUUGCGGGGAUUAAGGGAAGACAGGCGGUUUAGCCGUUAAAAGCGGCCGCUUUGCAUU